rnacentral:rRNA from 1 species
GAUGAACGCUGGCGGCGUGCCUCAAACAUGCAAGUCGAGCGGGGCUAUGUUGGACCGUAAGGGAAGAUAUAGCCUAGCGGCGAACGGGUGAGUAACACGUGGGUAACCUACCUGGAAGACAGGGAUAACGAUUCGAAAGGGUCGCUAAUACCUGAUAAUAUCUAACAGUCGGAUGGCAGUUAGAAGAAAGGGGAAACCCGCUUUCAGAUGGGCCCGCGUCCCAUCAGCUAGUUGGUAAGGUAAAGGCUUACCAAGGCGACGACGGGUAGCCGGUCUGAGAGGAUGUACGGCCACACUGGGACUGAGAUACGGCCCAGACUCCUACGGGAGGCAGCAGUGGGGAAUUUUGGACAAUGGGCGCAAGCCUGAUCCAGCCAUUCCGCGUGCAGGACGAAGGCCUUCGGGUUGUAAACUGCUUUUGUACGGAACGAAAAGGUACUUCUCUAAUACAGAGGGCCCAUGACGGUACCGUAAGAAUAAGCACCGGCUAACUACGUG